UAUUUCAGGUUGGUGUGAAUGUUGCCUCAGCGCAACGAGGGCAGAUAAGCUAAAAAAAUACAUGAGGAACGGCAGGAGACAUACUGAUAUCGACCGUACAUGUUAGGGGAUGUGCUGCACUUGACAAUGUUCUGUUAAAUGCAGCUGACGGCGAGAGGAGUGGCUCUAAAACCGUUCAUCCAACAAGCAGCCCGGGCAUCAACAACGCCUGCCUGCCACUCACCUUCGCCUAAAAACGCAGUUACACAACAAAGUUAGAACAAUUUGUUUGAAUCGUCUAGUAGUGAACGACAGGGAGAAAUGUCACCUGACGUCAAACAUGCAGUCAACACGGGUCUUUGAUGCCACUUCACUGUUGACAGUGAAAUUUUAGGACCAUCAUAAAUGUCAAUAAAAAUAGUGAGAUAUUUUUUCAGAAAUUCUCGUAUGCCUGGAAUCAUUGGGUUCGUCGACAGAACCAUGCUAGCAUUACUGGAAUAAAUCGAUUGAAAAAGUAAUAUUUAAAUAGGAAAUGGGCUUACAGCUUAAUCGUAAUGAUUGCUUAUGAUCACAAUAGGGCUAUACGUUGAUAGUCGCUGAUUCAUUUACUUCGGGAAACGGUGAAGAAAAUUCAAUGUACUUAGGUAUGCUGUCAAAGCCAGAUUAAUAGCCGUAUAAGGUUUGCGGAAAUACCUAAUUCAAGCAUAGCGGCGAUCAGGAAGGUUACUUUAAAAUCGACGAAGAGGUGGUGGCGGAUAAAAGCAAAAGAUCAGAAGUUCUAACAUUUUCCAACCUUGUCGCUACCAUUUAAAUUAGCCCCAACAUCUCAGUUAUCGCUGCAUACAUCACUUAACAGAAAUCAUGAUCCAAGACACAUAAAUAAGUAGGUUUAAUAAAAUGAAGUUAGUAUAAACAGAAACGAACUCAAUCAAAAAUUUGUACAUGAACUCAACUACCACCAACUAAAACAACAAAUAGAAAA